rnacentral:rRNA from 1 species
GACGUAGGGGGCAAGCGUUGUCCGGAAUCAUUGGGCGUAAAGAGCGUGUAGGCGGCCUGGUAAGUCCGCUGUGAAAGUCCAGGGCUCAACCCUGGAAUGCCGGUGGAAACUGUCAGGCUCGAGUCCGGAAGAGGCGAGUGGAAUUCCUGGUGUAGCGGUGAAAUGCGCAGAUAUCAGGAGGAACACCAAUGGCGAAGGCAGCUCGCUGGGACGGUACUGACGCUGAGACGCGAAAGCGUGGGGAGCAAACAGG